rnacentral:rRNA from 2 species
GGCAGCAGUGAGGAAUAUUGGGCAAUGGAGGCAACUCUGACCCAGCCAUGCCGCGUGCAGGAAGACUGCCCUAUGGGUUGUAAACUGCUUUUAUACAGGAAGAAACUUACCCACGUGUGGGUAACUGACGGUACUGUAAGAAUAAGGACCGGCUAACUCCGUGCCAGCAGCCGCGGUAAUACGGAGGGUCCAAGCGUUAUCCGGAAUCAUUGGGUUUAAAGGGUCCGUAGGCGGGCAAUUAAGUCAGAGGUGAAAUCCCACAGCUCAACUGUGGAACUGCCUUUGAUACUGGUUGUCUUGAGUUACAGUGAAGUAGAUAGAAUAUGUAGUGUAGCGGUGAAAUGCAUAGAUAUUACAUAGAAUACCGAUUGCGAAGGCAGUCUACUAACUGUAUACUGACGCUAAUGGACGAAAGCGUGGGGAGCGAACAGGAUUAGAUACCCUGGUAGUCCACGCCGUAAACGAUGGUCACUAGUUGUUGGGGUCUUGUACCUCAGUGAUUAAGAGAAAUUGAUAAGUGACCCACCUGGGGAGUACGAUCGCAAGAUUGAAACUCAAAUGAAUUGACGG